GAUGAACGCUGGCGGCGUGCCUAAUACAUGCAAGUCGAGCGAAUGGAUUAAGAGCUUGCUCUUAUGAAGUUAGUGGCGGACGGGUGAGUAACACGUGGGUAACCUGCCCAUAAGACUGGGAUAACUCCGGGAAACCGGGGCUAAUACCGGAUAACAUUUUGAACCGCAUGGUUCGAAAUUGAAAGGCGGCUUCGGCUGUCACUUAUGGCUGGACCCGCGUCGCAUUAGCUAGUUGGUGAGGUAACGGCUCACCAAGGCAACGAUGCGUAGCCGACCUGAGAGGGUGAUCGGCCACACUGGGACUGAGACACGGCCCAGACUCCUACGGGAGGCAGCAGUAGGGAAUCUUCCGCAAUGGACGAAAGUCUGACGGAGCAACGCCGCGUGAGUGAUGAAGGCUUUCGGGUCGUAAAACUCUGUUGUUAGGGAAGAACAAGUGCUAGUUGAAUAAGCUGGCACCUUGACGGUACCUAACCAGAAAGCCACGGCUAACUACGUGCCAGCAGCCGCUGUAA
rnacentral:rRNA from 1 species